AACGCACAACGGAAAUCUUCAUCCCGCCCACUGCCUCUCCAUCCCUCAGACCCUUCUGGAGCGGUGCCAUUGGCUGUGCCCUCUGCCUGUCUCCAGGGUCUUCAUGAAUCACCAGUCUCAGAAAAGCAGUCAAGCCCUUUGAAGAGCAGACACCUGCCCACACGCGCUGCCUCCACCUCCCCACCUUGGAGUCACCUUCCACUCUUCCCAUUUGGUGAGCUUCAGUUUGUCAGAACCAGUUGGGAUGCAACAGGAUUUUCAGUUUUGCUGUCUUCCAUGCAUGAAUGGCUGAAUCCGCAAAAAAAGGAAACUGAGGAUCCAUCUUGGACAAAUUAAUUAACUUUUUAACAUUAAAGUCAGAAGAGCUCUGUAGGACAAAACCCUGUUCUCUAAAGAAGCUCCCCCAAGGAAUGCAGAUCAUAAAGAAACUAGCAACACCAGACUAAAACAGUUUUUUAAAAGUUUUACAAGAGUCCUAUCAUUUCUGUCUCUCCUAUCACAAAAUAAGGCCAUUUGGCCUUGCUUCCUAGUAAAAUAUUGCCACCUUAUUUUUCAGUACCUUAACAUGUACUAAGUAUGUCUGAAUUCCAGUAAUACCAAAGAACACUAAGCAUUGGCAGAGGCCAUUGUCAUUUUACUAUAUUAAAAAAUACAUACAAAAAUGCAAUUUACUAUAUUAAACAUACAUAAAUGAUAUAUAGCUUUAAAUGCAUAUGGAAUUAAAGAUCAGAAAUGGGCAUAAAGUAAUCUGAAUUGUAUUCAGAUGAUGGGAUCAUUGGUGUAAACUGACAUAACAUUGUUUUAAUAAUAAGUGGUUUUACAAUAAAUACCAUAGUCUGUUUGAUAUUAAAUGCUGCUUAAAAGUUACUAUUCCUCAAUUCCUGAC
ensembl:lincRNA